AGCAGUGGAUUUUGAUUUUAGGCAAUCAGAGAGACCCAUACAAAUAAACGAAUGCAGAUAUGAACUAGUCUAAUCUAAUUUCACAGCUAUCUGAAGUGGCAAUCAAUAUAUAGCAGCUUGUCUAUGAUACAUUCAAGAUAGAUGAUACGACUUAUUACUUGUUCAAAAAGCUAAACAUAACCUCAGCCAUUUUUUUUAAUACAAUUUUUGAAAUUUACCCCAUGACUAUAAUUACUACAGUAUACGUGAGGUCUAUGCAGAAAGAGUAGCUACCUUGCUUAGAGAAAUGGCUCUGUUCCAAAGCCUAACGAGCUGCCUUGCUGUCUACUGCCUUCAUACUCAGCUGAUAUAGAACAUUAUAGUCAUUCCCGCAGGUUUCGCGCUUAUACCAAACAUGCCCGCACCACCACUGAUC